ensembl:lncRNA
UGGAGGCGCCACUGUCUACACUGGCCACUCCUCCCGGAUUGGAGCGGCAACCACAGCCGCUGAACAAGGGUUGCCGGUCGCGUCUAUCAAACGGCUGGGAAGGCGGUCUUCCACAGCUUACGAAUCCUACAUCCGGUUGAAUUCAUGGUUCUUCCUCCAAGCGCACGAUGCUCUAACGUCGGUUAAGGCAGGUUUAUCACGUUUGCUACUACAGCUGUUUUUGGCGGCCUGUUUCCAUUCUAGUUUUAGUCUUGGUGUCAAGGUGUCAUUUUUGUUUUUAUUAGUUUAGUCACGUUCAUACUCUUUCCAGUGAUAUCGAAAUUCCGUUUAGGUAUUAUCAAAGAUACAAGUGCGUAGAUUUGUUAAAUAAGGUAAACGGUCGAAAAUUGAUGUCGUUAUGUCUCUACAGUUGAAGUUCCAGUUGGACAAAAUAACGUAUUACAGUUUAUCGCCUAGUUUAGGUCAACGAAAAUGAAGACAUUUUAGCAGUCUUAUUUUCGUAAAACACUUUUUAGUCUUGUUUUAUUAAGCCAACUAUAUUGUACUAUGCUUUUAAUCACAGCUAUUGUCACACGCCCAGCAUCCACGUUGCGUCCAGUCUCGUUUUUCUAACGCGAUAAAGGCUUGUUGAUGACGACUUAGUCAUAAUUUUCAUUGCCAAAAGCAACACUAUUCUGGCGGCCUGUUUCCAUUCCAGGGUUAUUCUAGUCUUAGUGUCUAGCUGUUUUAGUCUAUUCGUUUUAGUUACGUCUAUAUUCUUUCUAGUGUUAUCGAAAUAUAUUGCACUAUGUAUUUAACUACAGUUAUUGUCACACGCCCAGCAUGCACGUUGCGUCCUGUUUGUUGUUUGUUUGUUUGUUUGUUUUUCUUUCUCACGCGAUAAAGGUUCGUGAUGACGAUAUUUUGUCAUUAUUUUCGUUGCUAAAAGCGACAUUAUUUGCAACUACUGGUGGUGGUGGUUAUCAGGUACUAAACUCAUAAAGCAAAAUUUGGCUAUAUAACUCAAGGUUAACCUGCAGCAACCCCGGCAAGUUUGACCACGUCGGUGGAUCAUCUAGAAAACACUCUUGAGUUCGGUGUCACGUUGGUGGCAUAUCAUGGAAAAAUAAAACUCAAGGUUCGCAGCGGCGACCCCGGUGAGUGCGUUGGCCAAAGCGCAGCGGUAACAACUCGGGCACUCGUAACUAUGACCACGUCGGUGGCACGUUAUCUAUUACUCAUGGUUGACUGCAGUAACCCCCGGUGAGUGCGUUGACCAUGUCAACGCACAAUUGGGGCACAACUCAGGCACUCGUGAGUUUGUUGCACACGUCGGUGCGGUACAACACAGUACUCAACGUCCUACAUCCGGUCGAGUUCAAGGUUCUUUCUUCAAGCGCACACGAUGCUCUCUAACGUCGGUUAAGACAGGUUUUACACGUUUGCAACCAUAGCUGUUUUUGGCGGCCUGUUCCUUUCUAGUGUUAGUCUAGUCUUGUGUCAAGCUGUCAUUUUAGUUUUUAUUAGUUUUAGUUACAUUCAUACUCUUUCCAGUGUUAUCGUAAUUCCAUUUAGAUAUUAUCGAAGUUACAAGUGCGUAGUUUUGUUAAAUAAGGUAAACGGUUGAAAAUUGAUGUUAUGUCUGGAACAGUUGAAGUUCCAGUUGAACAAAAUAACGUUAUAAGUCUUUAUCACCUAGUUUAGGUCAACGAAAAUGAAGACAUUUUAGCAGUCUUAUUUUCGUAAAACACUUUUUAGUCUUGUUUUAUUCGCCAACUAUAUUGUACUAUGCUUUUAAUCACAGCUAUUGUCACACGCCCAGCAUCCACGUUGCGUCCAGUCUCGUUUUUCUAACGCGAUAAAGGCUUGUUGAUGACGACUUAGUCAUAAUUUUCAUUGCCAAAAGCAACACUAUUCUGGCGGCCUGUUUCCAUUCCAGGGUUAUUCUAGUCUUAGUGUCUAGCUGUUUUAGUCUAUUCGUUUUAGUUACGUCUAUAUUCUUUCUAGUGUUAUCGAAAUAUAUUGCACUAUGUAUUUAACUACAGUUAUUGUCACACGCCCAACAUGCACGUUGCGUCCUGUUUGUUGUUUGUUUGUUUGUUUGUUUUUCUUUCUCACGCGAUAAAGGUUCGUGAUGACGAUAUUUUGUCAUUAUUUUCGUUGCUAAAAGCGACAUUAUUUGCAACUACUGGUGGUGGUGGUUAUCAGGUACUAAAUUCAUAAAGCAAAAUUCGGUUUCAUAACUCAGGUUAACCUGCAGCAACCCCGGCGAGUGUGUGACCACGUCGGUGGAUCAUCUAGAAAACACUCUUGAGUUCGCUGUCACGUCAGUGGCGUAAAAUAG